rnacentral:rRNA from 1 species
GGGUUGUGAGGUUAAGCGACUAAGCGUACACGGUGGAUGCCCUGGCAGUCAGAGGCGAUGAAGGACGUGCUAAUCUGCGAUAAGCGUCGGUAAGGUGAUAUGAACCGUUAUAACCGGCGAUUUCCGAAUGGGGAAACCCAGUGUGUUUCGACACACUAUCAUUAACUGAAUCCAUAGGUUAAUGAGGCGAACCGGGGGAACUGAAACAUCUAAGUACCCCGAGGAAAAGAAAUCAACCGAGAUUCCCCCAGUAGCGGCGAGCGAACGGGGAGCAGCCCAGAGCCUGAAUCAGUGUGUGUGUUAGUGGAAGCGUCUGGAAAGGCGCGCGAUACAGGGUGACAGCCCCGUACACAAAAAUGCACAUGCUGUGAGCUCGAUGAGUAGGGCGGGACACGUGGUAUCCUGUCUGAAUAUGGGGGACCAUCCUCCAAGGCUAAAUACUCCUGACUGACCGAUAGUGAACCAGUACCGUGAGGGAAAGGCGAAAAGAACCCCGGCGAGGGGAGUGAAAAAGAACCUGAAACCGUGUACGUACAAGCAGUGGGAGCACGCUUAGGCGUGUGACUGCGUACCUUUUGUAUAAUGGGUCAGCGACUUAUAUUCUGUAGCAAGGUUAACCGAAUAGGGGAGCCGAAGGGAAACCGAGUCUUAACUGGGCGUUAAGUUGCAGGGUAUAGACCCGAAACCCGGUGAUCUAGCCAUGGGCAGGUUGAAGGUUGGGUAACACUAACUGGAGGACCGAACCGACUAAUGUUGAAAAAUUAGCGGAUGACUUGUGGCUGGGGGUGAAAGGCCAAUCAAACCGGGAGAUAGCUGGUUCUCCCCGAAAGCUAUUUAGGUAGCGCCUCGUGAAUUCAUCUCCGGGGGUAGAGCACUGUUUCGGCAAGGGGGUCAUCCCGACUUACCAACCCGAUGCAAACUGCGAAUACCGGAGAAUGUUAUCACGGGAGACACACGGCGGGUGCUAACGUCCGUCGUGAAGAGGGAAACAACCCAGACCGCCAGCUAAGGUCCCAAAGUCAUGGUUAAGUGGGAAACGAUGUGGGAAGGCCCAGACAGCCAGGAUGUUGGCUUAGAAGCAGCCAUCAUUUAAAGAAAGCGUAAUAGCUCACUGGUCGAGUCGGCCUGCGCGGAAGAUGUAACGGGGCUAAACCAUGCACCGAAGCUGCGGCAGCGACGCUUAUGCGUUGUUGGGUAGGGGAGCGUUCUGUAAGCCUGUGAAGGUGUGCUGUGAGGCAUGCUGGAGGUAUCAGAAGUGCGAAUGCUGACAUAAGUAACGAUAAAGCGGGUGAAAAGCCCGCUCGCCGGAAGACCAAGGGUUCCUGUCCAACGUUAAUCGGGGCAGGGUGAGUCGACCCCUAAGGCGAGGCCGAAAGGCGUAGUCGAUGGGAAACAGGUUAAUAUUCCUGUACUUGGUGUUACUGCGAAGGGGGGACGGAGAAGGCUAUGUUGGCCGGGCGACGGUUGUCCCGGUUUAAGCGUGUAGGCUGGUUUUCCAGGCAAAUCCGGAAAAUCAAGGCUGAGGCGUGAUGACGAGGCACUACGGUGCUGAAGCAACAAAUGCCCUGCUUCCAGGAAAAGCCUCUAAGCAUCAGGUAACAUCAAAUCGUACCCCAAACCGACACAGGUGGUCAGGUAGAGAAUACCAAGGCGCUUGAGAGAACUCGGGUGAAGGAACUAGGCAAAAUGGUGCCGUAACUUCGGGAGAAGGCACGCUGAUAUGUAGGUGAAGUCCCUCGCGGAUGGAGCUGAAAUCAGUCGAAGAUACCAGCUGGCUGCAACUGUUUAUUAAAAACACAGCACUGUGCAAACACGAAAGUGGACGUAUACGGUGUGACGCCUGCCCGGUGCCGGAAGGUUAAUUGAUGGGGUUAGCCGCAAGGCGAAGCUCUUGAUCGAAGCCCCGGUAAACGGCGGCCGUAACUAUAACGGUCCUAAGGUAGCGAAAUUCCUUGUCGGGUAAGUUCCGACCUGCACGAAUGGCGUAAUGAUGGCCAGGCUGUCUCCACCCGAGACUCAGUGAAAUUGAACUCGCUGUGAAGAUGCAGUGUACCCGCGGCAAGACGGAAAGACCCCGUGAACCUUUACUAUAGCUUGACACUGAACAUUGAGCCUUGAUGUGUAGGAUAGGUGGGAGGCUUUGAAGUGUGGACGCCAGUCUGCAUGGAGCCGACCUUGAAAUACCACCCUUUAAUGUUUGAUGUUCUAACGUUGACCCGUGAUCCGGGUUGCGGACAGUGUCUGGUGGGUAGUUUGACUGGGGCGGUCUCCUCCUAAAGAGUAACGGAGGAGCACGAAGGUUGGCUAAUCCUGGUCGGACAUCAGGAGGUUAGUGCAAUGGCAUAAGCCAGCUUGACUGCGAGCGUGACGGCGCGAGCAGGUGCGAAAGCAGGUCAUAGUGAUCCGGUGGUUCUGAAUGGAAGGGCCAUCGCUCAACGGAUAAAAGGUACUCCGGGGAUAACAGGCUGAUACCGCCCAAGAGUUCAUAUCGACGGCGGUGUUUGGCACCUCGAUGUCGGCUCAUCACAUCCUGGGGCUGAAGUAGGUCCCAAGGGUAUGGCUGUUCGCCAUUUAAAGUGGUACGCGAGCUGGGUUUAGAACGUCGUGAGACAGUUCGGUCCCUAUCUGCCGUGGGCGCUGGAGAACUGAGGGGGGCUGCUCCUAGUACGAGAGGACCGGAGUGGACGCAUCACUGGUGUUCGGGUUGUCAUGCCAAUGGCACUGCCCGGUAGCUAAAUGCGGAAGAGAUAAGUGCUGAAAGCAUCUAAGCACGAAACUUGCCCCGAGAUGAGUUCUCCCUGACUCCUUGAGAGUCCUGAAGGAACGUUGAAGACGACGACGUUGAUAGGCCGGGUGUGUAAGCGCAGCGAUGCGUUGAGCUAACCGGUACUAAUGAACCGUGAGGCUUAACCUUACAACGCCGAAGCUGUU